GACGAACGCUGGCGGCGUGCUUAACACAUGCAAGUCAAGGAGAAAGCGAUUUUCGGAUUGCAAGUAAACUGGCGAACGGGUGAGUAAUAUGUAAGUAACCUACCUAUGGGACUGGGAUAACGUCGAGAAAUCGGCGCUAAUACCAGAUAAUGCAGCGGCAUCGCAUGAUGAUGUUGUUAAAGUCAUUUAUGGCACCUAUAGAUGGGCUUGCAUCUGAUUAGUUAGUUGGUAAGGUAACGGCUUACCAAGGCAACGAUCAGUAGCUGGUCUGAGAGGAUGAUCAGCCACACUGGAACUGACACACGGUCCAGACUCCUACGGGAGGCAGCAGUGAGGAAUAUUGCGCAAUGGGGGAAACCCUGACGCAGCAACGCCGCGUGAGUGAUGAAGGCCUUUGGGUCGUAAAGCUCUGUCUGGUGGGAAGAACCAGGACUGUUCGAAUAGGGCAGUCCCCUGACCGUACCACCAAAGAAAGCACCGGCUAACUCCGUGCCAGCAGCCGCGGUAAUACGGAGGGUGCAAGCGUUAUUCGGAUUUAUUGGGCGUAAAGGGCGCGUAGGCGGCCGCUUAAGUCUGAUGUGAAAGCCCGGGGCUCAACCCCGGAAGUGCAUUGGAUACUGGCGGACUUGAGUACGGGAGAGGGAAGUGGAAUUCCGAGUGUAGGGGUGAAAUCCGUAGAUAUUCGGAGGAACACCGGUGGCGAAAGCGGCUUCCUGGACCAAUACUGACGCUGAGGCGCGAAGGCGUGGGUAGCAAACA
rnacentral:rRNA from 1 species